ensembl:lncRNA
CUCUCUAUUUCCUUUCUCUGUACUGUGUGUUAGUGUGUCUCUCUGUACUGCCUUAAUGGUGUAGGUCGACAAAUGGGGGUGGUCGGGGUUGUGGACGCCCUUGUACUGAAGGCCGGGUGCGGGGAGGUUUGUCUCUUUAUCUUUAUUAGUAACCGGGAUAAUUCUUCUAGCAGGGGGUGAUCGAGAGUCGGGGUUGGAUUGGUAUUGAUGCUGUCCAGUAGGGGGCGGUGUAGUUGGGGAAGGGCAGGGUUCUUGUUGUCCAGUAGGGGGCGGUGUAGUUGGGGAAGGGCAGGGUUGUUGUUGUCCAGCAGGGGGCAGUCUAGUUGGGGAAGGGUAAGGUUGGAGUGGUCCAGCAGGGGGCAGUCUAGUUGGGGAAGGGUAAGGUUGGAGUGGUCCAGUAGGGGGCAGUCUAGUUGGGGAAGGGUAAGGUUGGAGUGGUCCAGUAGGGGGCAGUCUAGUUGGGGAAGGGUAAGGUUGGAGUGGUCCAGCAGGGGGCAGUCUAGUUGGGGAAGGGUAAGGUUGGAGUGGUCCAGCAGGGGGCAGUCUAGUUGGGGAAGGGUAAGGUUGGAGUGGUCCAAAUUUGGCGGAGGGGGAGGUGUGGCUUGGGACUGAGUGAGAGAACUCAAAAAAUGGCGGCCGUGAUGCUAUAACUCUGUGUGGCCUGUCUAACACACGAGAGCGGAUGAGAGACUAGGGGGUAACUCUUGUCACUCUUGGAGGAGGAGAACGAGAAAAAAGGAGGAAAAAACAG